rnacentral:rRNA from 1 species
UACUGAUUUGCUUUAAUUUUUUAUGAGUUAAAUUAGAUAUUUUUAUAGAUAAUUGUGAGGUUUUAUUACUACAAUUGUGUACAUACUAAGAUAUUUUUUUAUGUGAGGUUACUUAUUAAACAAGAAUUAGAUACUCUUUUAUAUAUAACUUUACUUUUAUGUUCUCAGUUUUAACUGAAAGAAAUUGGCAGCUGAUUAUAUCCUACUAGGGGAGUGUGUAUUUUAAUAGAUGUUCCACUUAUUAUUUUACUACGAUUAAUUUGUUGGUGUAUAUCCGGUUUAGUUAUAUAAAAUAAAUGUUUUGUGUAUAAAGAAGUUUUUAAUCCAGGUCAAUAUGCUGCUUAUGUCGUAGUUAAUAUUCACUACAAUGUAAGUUUAUUAAGUGAAGUUCUUGGUAGUUUUGGGACUUAGUAGUAUUAUGAUAUUUUAAAUGGUUCAUGAGAAUAAGGUUUAAUUGGGGCACACAUCGCCCGUCAUCUUCGA